GAAUAUUGGACAAUGGGGGCAACCCUGAUCCAGCAAUGCCGCGUGUGUGAAGAAGGCCUGCGGGUUGUAAAGCACUUUUAUCGGGAAAGAAAAUCACAGGACUAAUACUUCCGUGCCUUGACGGUACCCGAAGAAUAAGCACCGGCUAACUCCGUGCCAGCAGCCGCGGUAAUACGGAGGGUGCAAGGGUUAAUCGGAAUUACUGGGCGUAAAGCGAGUGUAGGUGGCUAUGUAAGUCGGAUGUGAAAUCCCCGGGCUCAACCUGGGAACUGCAUUCGAUACUGCAUGGCUAGAGUCUGAUAGAGGGAAGUGGAAUUCCAGGUGUAGCGGUGAAAUGCGUAGAUAUCUGGAAGAACACCAGUGGCGAAGGCGGCUUCCUGGAUCAAGACUGACACUGAGGCUCGAAAGCGUGGGGAGCAAACAGG
rnacentral:rRNA from 1 species